CUCUGUGACUCCUACGGGAGGCAGCAGUGGGGAAUAUGCACAAUGGCGCAAGCCUGAUGCAGCAACGCCGCGUGAGCGAUGAAGGCCUUCGGGUCGUAAAGCUCUGUCCUCAAGGAAGAAUAAAUGACGGUACUUGAGGAGGAAGCCCCGGCUAACUACGUGCCAGCAGCCGCGGUAAUACGUAGGGGGCAAGCGUUAUCCGGAAUCACUGGGCGUAAAGGGUGCGUAGGCGGUUUUUCAAGUCAGAAGUGAAAGGCUAUGGCUCAACCAUAGUAAGCUUUUGAAACUGUUAAACUUGAGUGCAGGAGAGGAAAGUGGAAUUCCUAGUGUAGAGGUGAAAUUCGUAGAUAUUAGGAGGAACACCAGUGGCGAAGGCGACUUACUGGACUGUAACUGACGCUGAUGCACGAAAGCGUGGGUAGCGAACAGGAUUAGAUACCCUGGUAG
rnacentral:rRNA from 1 species